rnacentral:rRNA from 1 species
UGAGCAAUCUGCCCUUCUCUUCGGAAUAAGCGUUGGAAACGACGUCUAAUGCCGAAUACGACCUCCUUUCGCAUGAUCGGAGGUGGAAAGCUCCGGCGGAGAAGGAUGAGCUCGCGGCCUAUCAGCUAGUUGGUGUGGGUAAUGGCCCACCAAGGCGACGACGGGUAGCCGGCCUGAGAGGGUGACCGGCCACACGUGGGACUGAGACACGGCCCACGACUCCUACGGGAGGNAGACG